AAGAGCUUGUGAUCAAAGGGCCAGCUCAAACUGACAUGAGGUUAUAAACAAAAGGGCAAGCACUGCAGGAAGGGUUUGAAGGACUUUAAACCCUACCAGAUUCCAUAUGUAGAAGACGGGUGACUUCUGUUACAGGAAUCAGUUGCAGGCAUCUGAAAAUGACUCGGAUAUUACUUUAAAACAACAAUGAGGAAAACCUGAGGAAAAGAAGUGUGUAAGAGACUUAAAGCCAAAGGGGGAGUCAUUUCUUUGCUCCAGCCACAUCCCUGACAAAGGCAUAGGCUUCUUGGUGUACAUGCGUUGUGUCCAGACUGCAAUAUAUGUUAGAUCAACACCACCGAGAACUAGGUCCCCGGCUGCCUCAUCUUUCCCAUUGCUAUAUCAAGACUAGCAACUAUAGAACAAAGCUUAUACUCAUUCACUUUUAGGUAAGUGUGUUUGGCAGGAAACAAAUUAGGAUUGGAAUAUUGAGGGCAGCCUUGCUUUAAAGAAACUUAAACAAUUGAAUACCCUUUCUUUGGUUUGACAAACAUCUGGGUGACUGAAUUCAUAGUCCUUUUUCUGUCACCAGAGAAUAAGUGUCCAUGUGUGAAUAGGCUCAUUUUGAUUUACUUUAUCAUAGCUCAUUUACAUAGCUCGUUUUGAUUUAUUUUGUCAGUAGGGCUUCUUGAUGAAAUUACUACCUUGCUUUAUACAUCUGGGCAUCCAUUAUUGCUUAUAUUGUAUUUAUUUAUGCAUGAACAGCAGACAAAGUUUUACUGUGGAAUUACAGUGACAUCAAAGAGAAGGUGAACUGGCAUUAACAUUAUUGGGACAUGAUUGUUACACAGCAUGUACAUUACAUUAUAGUAGCCGUAUUGAUAGUACAGUCACUAUACAUUAUGAUAACACUUGCAGUCAUAUUGCUGUUAAAAAUGUAGUAUAUUGCCAUUAUGCUGAAAAUAAAAUCUGGUCAAAACUCCAAAGCAUACUCCAAAACAAUGAACAAAAAAAGAACUUCCUAAUUUACUAAUCAGUGAGCAGCAAUAUAGAAACUAUAGUCCCUUAAUACCACACUAAUGGGCAACCUUAAGAAAAUCUAGAUAAAUAAUUUUAAAUGCAAAAUGUACACUAAAUCAAUGCCAUGGUUG